UGGAACCACGCGCUCGCUCCACCCUACAACCCUAUGAUAUCGUUAAAUGAUACCGUUAAUCAACAAUUAAAACCGGUGCGGCAAGUUCAUAAAAUUUAUCAGAAAGUAUUAAAAACUAAAAGUUUUGUGUGAAUGGUGUCUCGCAAAGUUUGUGUGCAAUUGGUUUGUGGAUAAAACAAAUUACUGACUUAAAGUACCUAAAGUGGGGUACGAUGUUAGCGAGGCCUACUAACAAUAUGAUAUUUAAUAAGAUUGGGUGGCGUACUGGCAGAACCAGAAUACCAAGGAUUUGAGGACAGCGUAAGAGCAGGGGAUGCGGGAAGGCGGCGCGGGUGGGAGGGGUG